rnacentral:rRNA from 1 species
AGAGUUUGAUCCUGGCUCAGGAUGAACGCUGGCGGCGUGCUUAACACAUGCAAGUCGAACGGGAAACCUUUUAUUGAAGCUUCGGCAGAUUUAGAUUGUUUCUAGUGGCGGACGGGUGAGUAACGCGUGGGUAACCUGCCUUAUACAGGGGGAUAACAGUCAGAAAUGACUGCUAAUACCGCAUAAGCGCACAGAGCUGCAUGGCUCAGCGUGAAAAACUCCGGUGGUAUAAGAUGGACCCGCGUUGGAUUAGCUGGUUGGUGAGGUAACGGCCCACCAAGGCGACGAUCCAUAGCCGGCCUGAGAGGGUGAACGGCCACAUUGGGACUGAGACACGGCCCAGACUCCUACGGGAGGCAGCAGUGGGGAAUAUUGCACAAUGGGGGAAACCCUGAUGCAGCGACGCCGCGUGAAGGAAGAAGUAUCUCGGUAUGUAAACUUCUAUCAGCAGGGAAGAAUUAGGACGGUACCUGACUAAGAAGCCCCGGCUAACUACGUGCCAGCAGCCGCGGUAAUACGUAGGGGGCAAGCGUUAUCCGGAUUUACUGGGUGUAAAGGGAGCGUAGACGGAUGGGCAAGUCUGAUGUGAAAGGCUGGGGCUCAACCCCGGGACUGCAUUGGAAACUGCCCGUCUUGAGUGCCGGAGAGGUAAGCGGAAUUCCUAGUGUAGCGGUGAAAUGCGUAGAUAUUAGGAGGAACACCAGUGGCGAAGGCGGCUUACUGGACGGUAACUGACGUUGAGGCUCGAAAGCGUGGGGAGCAAACAUAAAGGGAUACCCUGGUAGUCCACGCGGUAAGCGAUCCCUUAAGGAGUCGGGGAGCAAAGCUCUUCGGUGCCGCCGCAAAAGCAUUAAGCAUUCCACCUGGGGAGUACGUUAUGCAAGAAAGAAACUUAAAGGAAUUGACGGGGAUCCGCACAAGCGUUGAAGCAUGUGGUUUAAUUCGAAACAACGAGAAGAACCCUACCAAGUCUUGACAUCCCUAUGGCCGAGAACUUAACCGUUCCUUUCCUUCGGGACAGAGGAGACAGGAGGAUACAUGGUUGUCGUCAGCUCGUGUCGCGAGAUGUUGGGUUAAGUCCCGCAACGAGAGCAACCCCUAUCCCCAGUAGCCAGCGGUUCGGCCGGGCACUCUGAGGAGACUGCCAGGGAUAACCUGGAGGAAGGCGGGGAUGACGUCAAAUCAUCAUCCCCCUUAUGAUUUGGGCUACACACGUGCUACAAUGGCGUAAACAAAGGGAAGCGAACCUGCGAGGGGAAGCAAACCACAAAAAGGCCGUCCCAGUUCGGACUGUAGUCUGCAACCCGACUACACGAAGCUGGAAUCGCUAGUAAUCGCGAAUCAGAAUGUCGCGGUGAAUAC